GUGCUCACUUUGGCAGCACAUGUACUAAAAUUGGAACAAUACAGGAUUAGCAUGGCCCCUGUGUAAGGAUGACACACAAAUUCGUGAAACAUUCCAUAUUUUU
rnacentral:snRNA from 1 species